rnacentral:rRNA from 1 species
CAGGUAGUAGUGGGUGUAAGGUACCCCCUAGCCUACGACGGGUAUGGGCCUUGAGAGAGGGAGCCCAGAGUUGGAUUCUGAGACACGAAUCCAGGCCCUACGGGGCGCAGCAGUCGCGAAAACUUCACACUGGGGGGAACCCCGAUGAGGGAAAUCCUAGUGCUAGGACAUUUGUUCUAGCUUUUCUCAAGCGUAGAUAACUUGAGGAAUAAGGGCUGGGUAAGACGGGUGCCAGCCGCCGCGGUAAUACCUGCAGCCCAAGUGGUGGUCGAUUUUAUUGAGUCUAAAACGUUCGUAGCCGGUUUGGUAAAUCUUUGGUAAAUCGGGAAGCUUAACUUUCCGACUUCCGAAGAGACUGUCAAACUUGGGACCGGGAGAGGCUAGAGGUACUUCUGGGGUAGGGGUAAAAUCCUGUAAUCCUAGAAGGACCACCGGUGGCGAAGGCGUCUAGCUAGAACGGAUCCGACGGUGAGGGACGAAGCCCUGGGUCGCAAACGGGAUUAGAUACCCCGGUAGUCCAGGGUGUAAACGCUGCAGACUUGGUGUUGGAGGCCCUUCGGGGGCAUUCAGUGCCGGAGAGAAGUUGUUAAGUCUGCUACUUGGGGAGUACGUCCGCAAGGAUGAAACUUAA